GAUGAACGCUGGCGGCGUGCCUAAUACAUGCAAGUCGAGCGAACAGACGCGGAGCUUGCUCCUCUGACGUUAGCGGCGGACGGGUGAGUAACACGUGGAUAACCUACCUAUAAGACUGGGAUAACUUCGGGAAACCGGAGCUAAUACCGGAUAAUAUAUUGAACCGCAUGGUUCAAUAGUGAAAGACGGUUUUGCUGUCACUUAUAGAUGGAUCCGCGCCGCAUUAGCUAGUUGGUAAGGUAACGGCUUACCAAGGCAACGAUGCGUAGCCGACCUGAGAGGGUGAUCGGCCACACGGGAACUGGGACACGCUCCAGACUCCUACGGGAGGCAGCAGUAGGGAAUCUGCCGCAAUAGGCGAAAGCUUGACGGAGCAACGCCGCGUGAGUGAUGAAGGUGUUGGGAGCGUAAAACUCUGUUAUGAGGGAAGAACAAAUGUGUAAGUAACUAUGCACGUCUUGACGGUACCUAAUCAGAAAGCCACGGCUAACUACGUG
rnacentral:rRNA from 1 species